UACGUAGGGUGCAAGCGUUGUCCGGAAUUAUUGGGCGUAAAGAGCUCGUAGGCGGUCUGUCGCGUCGGCUGUGAAAUCCCGAGGCUCAACCUCGGGUCUGCAGUCGAUACGGGCAGGCUAGAGUGUGGUAGGGGAGACUGGAAUUCCUGGUGUAGCGGUGAAAUGCGCAGAUAUCAGGAGGAACACCGAUGGCGAAGGCAGGUCUCUGGGCCACUACUGACGCUGAGAAGCGAAAGCAUGGGGAGCGAACAGG
rnacentral:rRNA from 1 species